AUUGAACGCUGGCGGCAGGCCUAACACAUGCAAGUCGAACGAGUGGCGGACGGGUGAGUAAUGUCUGGGAAACUGCCUGAUGGAGGGGGAUCACUACUGGAAACGGUAGCUAAUACCGCAUACCAUCGGAUGUGCCCAGAUGGGAUUAGCUAGUAGGUGGGGUAACGGCUAACCUAGGCGACGAUCCCUAGCUGGUCUGAGGGGAUGACCAGCCACACUGGAACGGAGACACGGUCCAGACUCCUACGGAAGGCAGCAGUGGGGAAUAUUGCACAAGGGGCGCAAGCCUGAUACAGCCAUGCCGCGUGUAUGAAGAAGGCCUUCGGGUUUUAAAGUACUUUCAGCGGGGAGGCGUUACCCGCAGAAGAAGCACCGGCUAACUCCGUGCCAGCAGCCGCGGUAAUAC
rnacentral:rRNA from 1 species